rnacentral:rRNA from 1 species
UACGUAGGGUGCGAGCGUUAACCGGAAUUACUGGGCGUAAAGCGCGCGCAGGCGGUCUGUUAAGUCCGAUGUGAAAUCCCCGGGCUUAACCUGGGAACUGCAUUGGUGACUGGCAGGCUUUGAGUGUGGCAGAGGGAGGUAGAAUUCCAGGUGUAGCAGUGAAAUGCGUAGAGAUGUGGAGGAAUACCAAUGGCGAAGGCAGCCUUCUGGCCAGAUACUGACGCUGAGGUGCGAAAGCAUGGGGAGCAAACAGG